UCAAGGCUGGCGGCGCUGGGUCUCUACUCCUCGCAGGGGGUUUGUUUGUUUGCUUUGCUUUUCCCUCCAGCUGGGUCCUUUGUUUUCUGCCAGCCUGUCCAGUGCUUCAGCCCUCUGGGAGCCAACACUGCUGAAGUCGGCAAGGUUGUGAAAGCGAAGAGGCGGGUGGGGUGUAGAAGAGAACAACCCGGUAUUUGGAACCCCAAACACGUGGCACGCGUGGGAUGCUCCGUAAAAACCUGGAUUUCCAGACCCGCUAAUCGCUUAUUUCUAUCCUGCGGCACUUGGAACUUAAUAUGGCCAAGACGGAAUUCAUCUAUUUUUCCAAACUCUGCACCAACUCCUCCAGUGACCCCUGACUGAUAGGCACAGCGUUGUAAGCGGCAUGGCAAAAGCAGGCUCCACACCCAGCAUGGAACACAAUGCGGGGCC